GAGGAUGGGAGGAUGGGGUAAUUGGGUGAUAGGCAUUAAGGAGGGCACCUGACGUGAUGAGCACUGGGUGUUAUAUGCAACUGAGGAAUCACUGAACUCUACUCCGAAACUAACAAUACACUAUAUGUUAAUUCAUUAAAUUUAAAUAAAAUAAAAUAAAAUAAAUUUUUUAAAGGGGGUAGUGAGACAGCCAGAUGCUUCUGGUGGGAAUUUCUGUAGACGUUGCUGCAAUCAGACCCACGGUGCCUAAAGAUACCUUUGGACACAGUUCUUGUCUAUGUGCAAAUUGUAGCUGCUAACACGGGGCAGAGAGACUGCGUGGGGAUCUGCAGGUUGGUUUCCACCUUCCUGGCAUUCCUAACCUGGGAGUCUGCGGUUCGGGGUGGAUGCUUUCUUUUGUCCUUAUUUGCCUGCCUCUCACCUGCUUUACCAGCCAGCUGGCAUUGCCCCCGCCUCGCCUGCCUGCUGUUGACUGGACCUGGGGAUGUGUUUGGCUUUUCACAAAUUUCUUUCAAAGCUAAAUACGAAUUUUCCAGCAAGUCUUGCAACUAGAGAUGGCUGUGUCAUGAAGCAAGCUGAUGUAAGUAGAGAUGUAAGUAUCCAAUAAGACACGAGUAGAUGCAUGUUGAGGUAAGGUGGAAAAUUCUGGAAAACAUUAACUUUCCAGAUAGAAUGGCACAGACUCAGCUGGGGCCACUUCUCAUCCUCAUUUUCUCCUCUCUUCCUUGAAUGAAGUUGUGAUAGCUAAAGUGUCACAAUCACGCUAUAGUGAUGAGGUGACCAGCAGAGGACAAAAUCCAAUGUGCUAAAGAUAGCUGAAUGAAAAAGAGAAUCUGA
rnacentral:lncRNA from 12 species